rfam:Nematostella vectensis strain CH2 x CH6 NEMVEscaffold_2969_Cont43665, whole genome shotgun sequence.
UCAAAUUUAAAAUCUCCGUUGCUUGCAACGGCGAAUUGUAGUUUCGAGAAGCACUUUCUCGGCGGAUCCGAGGUCGUCCAAGUUGCUUGGAACAGCACGUCGUAGAGGGUGACAACCCCGUCUGCGGCGAUCUCGGCCGUUCACGAUGUGCUUUCGACGAGUCGGGUUGUUUGGGAUUGAAAACUCAGAAUCGAAGUCAAGAUUCACUCAGA